rnacentral:lncRNA from 1 species
UAGUAAGAGUACUUGUAAAAUUGUUAAUAUAGUGAAUAAGAUGAUAAAUUGUAAAUUUCGUUUUGUAAAAUGCAUCUAUCCCUAAGGGGAUGGAUCAUUUUCGAAAGCGUGGAGUAUAUGUGGGAUCGAAAAAUAUCCCCCUUUUUUAUAUAUUUAUAUAACGACGCAAAUAAGUUGAAAUCCGAUGACAUAGUAGAUUCAGAGAGAGGAUAUGUAAGUUUAUCUUUGGAACUAUUAUUUCAUGAUUGUUUAUACGAAUGUGUACAAGGAAUGUCACUCGAUCUUAGAUCGAUUGUGUAAGAGACAAUAACAGCCAUUCUGGGAGAAAAGGUAAAGGAGAGAACAGCGCUAUAUAAGAGCGAAGCUGGACAAAGGUCCUGGCUUGUGUUCCGGCCGAGUGAC